CGUGCAGGUCGUCUCUCAAUCGUUUAUCAAUGACCUCCUUAUUCUGCUGCCUUCCCCAACCAUCUCCCUCUCUCUAAUCAGCCCUCCUAUCACCGUCAACGAAGUUGGAGGUUAGCACGAGAUCCUCUAUCUACUUUCUACAUUAUAUCCCUCGCUAGUCCCGAUUCUAUGCAUUGGCUCCCAUCUCCCUCCCUUGAUCUCUCUUUAAUUGGAAAAGAUAGCAACAUGGUUCUCUACUCUCUGAUUAAUGGCUUCAAUCCAACUCCAUUGCCGCAGAAAUUUCUAUAGAUCCAUAUUUUAUUUUUUUACUUUUUACUAGUGUUUCAAUAGUUCGGAUUUGAAUCAUAAGUUAUGAUCGACUAAACUCGCUACCCCGUCCUCUCGCCUUCAUCUGUCUACAUCCAUAAUCCGUCUUGCUUCGUUGCCGCCCCAAUCAAACACAACCGGCUUCCUGCUCCUCGAUCAAACUUCUCUCUCUUGAUGGCCUAACACCAGCCAAUGUUCCAAUAGUGGCUCUCCCCCAAUCGACGACUCAUCUCAAUCCAUUGGUGUUGCAUCAAUGCACUCUUUCCAACUUUUCACCUCGGAUAGGUUCUCUUUACCUGCAGUUUUCUCUAUCCAAAACAACGUCCACCGUUUUCUCCUAGGCUCAACGGAUAGUUGCUUCCAAGAUUUCUCUAUAUAGCAGAUUACUGAAUUCAAAUACGGGGUCGUCAAAGCUGCAGGCCGUCAGCCCCUAUCCCAAUUUUCCAUCAUCUUGAUGUUCAAAAUACUCAAACCAAAUAAGGACAUGCUGCUAUUUUAAGAGCAUCAUCAAAGCUUAAGGCACAGUGCUAGCAGUAUGCAAAUUAGCAAUUUAAUUAGGAAAACCAUAAACAUGAGUCGUAUUAGGCAGAUUAAUCGAGUAUUUUACCUUUACAGAAAUCCCUCACGUCCAUGGUUUAUGAUCUUUCUCCCGGUUGUAUCAUCCCAGUGUUGUUACACCCACAGAUAAAGGACAUGCUCUUGCAUAGCUCCUGGAAGGAAUAAUAUCUAGCGAAUACA